rnacentral:rRNA from 1 species
AUACGGAGGGUGCAAGCGUUAAUCGGAAUUACUGGGCGUAAAGCGUGCGUAGGCGGUUUAUUAAGUCAGAUGUGAAAGCCCCGGGCUUAACCUGGGAACUGCAUUUGAUACUGGUAAGCUAGAGUAUGGUAGAGGGGGGUAGAAUUCCUAGUGUAGCGGUGAAAUGCGUAGAUAUUAGGAGGAAUACCAGUGGCGAAGGCGGCCCCCUGGACCAAUACUGACGCUGAGGUACGAAAGCGUGGGUAGCGAACAGGAUUAGAUACCCUGGUAGUCCACGCUGUAAACGAUGUCAACUAGCCGUCGGGACCUUGAGGUUUCGGUGGUGCAGCUAACGCGUGAAGUUGACCGCCUGGGGACUACGGCCGCAAGGCUAAA